rnacentral:rRNA from 1 species
UGAGGAAUAUUGGUCAAUGGCCGAGAGGCUGAACCAGCCAAGUCGCGUGAAGGAGGAAGGAUCUAUGGUUUGUAAACUUCUUUUAUAGGGGAAUAAAGUGCAGCACGUGUGCUGUUUUGUAUGUACCCUAUGAAUAAGCAUCGGCUAACUCCGUGCCAGCAGCCGCGGUAAUACGGAGGAUGCGAGCGUUAUCCGGAUUUAUUGGGUUUAAAGGGUGCGUAGGUGGCAGCUUAAGUCAGCGGUGAAAGUUUGUGGCUCAACCAUAAAAUUGCCGUUGAAACUGGGUAGCUUGAGUAUGUUUGAGGUAGGCGGAAUGUGUGGUGUAGCGGUGAAAUGCAUAGAUAUCACGCAGAACUCCAAUUGCGAAGGCAGCUUACUAAACCAUAACUGACAUUGAGGCUCGAAAGUGUGGGUAUCAAACAGGAUUAGAUACCC